AUGUCCUUCUCCGUCACCCAGCGCGCUCGCCCCACCACGCGGUCCAGCUCCUCGGUCGCCUUGGUCAACACCUCCGGCUUCUUCAGGAGCUCCGAGAUCGCCCACUCGACUGCGACCGCCGAGCUCUCCGUGCCGCCGACGAGGAGGUCCUGCAAGAAAGCCUUGACGCUAUCCCGGUCGAUCUGCACCUCAAGAUUGGGGUCUCUGGCUAUCUCGAGUAGCACGUCCACCAUGUCCUUCGAGACGAAGCUCUCCCCCUCGACUCGGCGUCUGUCGUUGUGCUCGUCCACGACAUGUUCGAGGAACCGAUCAAACAUCUUGCUCAGCUUCUUCAUCCUCUUGAUGUACCCCUGGAGGUCCAGCCAGUCCAGCCACGGGAUGGAGUCGCCGAUGUUGAGCACGCCGUUGAGCAAGAACCACUCGUCGACCAUCCGCUUGAACUCCGCCAGGGUCGUCGCGGAGCCGGAGCCCCCUUCGUACUUCUUGCCCAGCACCAUGCGCGUGAUCACGUUCAGGCUCAAGGUCGACAAGUAG
rnacentral:rRNA from 1 species